rnacentral:rRNA from 1 species
CUUGCUCCCUGAAGUCAGCGGCGGACGGGUGAGUAACACGUGGGCAACCUGCCUGUAAGACUGGGAUAACUUCGGGAAACCGGAGCUAAUACCGGAUAAUGCACAACCUCUCAUGAGGCUAUGCUGAAAGAUGGUUUCGGCUAUCACUUACAGAUGGGCCCGCGGCGCAUUAGCUAGUUGGUGAGGUAACGGCUCACCAAGGCAACGAUGCGUAGCCGACCUGAGAGGGUGAUCGGCCACACUGGGACUGAGACACGGCCCAGACUCCUACGGGAGGCAGCAGUAGGGAAUCUUCCGCAAUGGACGAAAGUCUGACGGAGCAACGCCGCGUGAGUGAUGAAGGUUUUCGGAUCGUAAAACUCUGUUGUCAGGGAAGAACAAGUGCCGGAGUAACUGCCGGCACCUUGACGGUACCUGACCAGAAAGCCACGGCUAACUACGUGCCAGCAGCCGCGGUAAUACGUAGGUGGCAAGCGUUGUCCGGAAUUAUUGGGCGUAAAGCGCGCGCAGGCGGUCUCUUAAGUCUGAUGUGAAAGCCCACGGCUCAACCGUGGAGGGUCAUUGGAAACUGGGGGACUUGAGUGCAGAAGAGGAAAGUGGAAUUCCACGUGUAGCGGUGAAAUGCGUAGAGAUGUGGAGGAACACCAG